ensembl:snRNA U6 U6 spliceosomal RNA
GUUAUAUAAUCUGUAACACAUGAUAAACUUGGGAACGAUACAGAAAAGAUUAGGAGGAUGGCCCCUGGUGCAAGGAUAACAUGCACUAUUGUGAAGCGUUCUCAUUUUCC